CACUCAAAUAUGCGCAUAACUAAAACGCUACAGUCAAUUCGUGACCGAACAAGUUAACUCAAAGACUUUGGCUGUUAACUUAGAAACUCGCGGAGGUUUCCAAGAUGAGGACAAAACCAGAAAAAACAUUUCGUUUGAUAUCAUUUCUCCUCCUCCUCUUCUCCAGUGUUUACGCUAAAACUGCCACAGAGGAGGAUCGAGACUUGAUAAUCCUUUUGGCAGCUGUAGCCUUGGCUGUUCUCGCUGUGGCUUUGAUUAUUCUUGUGGUCAGUUGCUGUUGUUUCUGGAAAAUGUUAAAGAAGAGAGAGCGUGGCUAUUAGCAGCCAUAGAAAUAACAAAUCGGAACUCUACUGCCUCAAAAACUUUUUGCUUGUGUCUACCAUAGAUUGUUAUACGUACUGAUAUUGUAAAGUAUCUGCUCAAUACGAAAGAUUGUAUAAUACAACUUAUUUUACUACAAACUGUAUAUUACAAUACCAUAUAUGGCGCAACUUUUUGAUGCCAUCAUUGAAUUGGAACUAUAUCUAGUUAUGCUUUUUUAAGACUAUCUUACACAUCAAAAUAGAUCAGCCUCAUCACUAGUGAAACACUAUUGCAGAACUAAAGAAGGAUCGUAGAGAUUGUUCAUUUGCUGUAAUACUACAACGUUUAGGAGAAAUUAUUGCGUGAACUGCUCAAUUGUAAAAAAAAAGCAACUUUAACAAUUUUGUGGAUAGCAGGGCCGAGAUUGCAAAAUGCCGAGAGAAAUGCCCCAGUUAUGAUUGACCUCGAUGAGUCCAUUAUUUUAUCACUGAAUGUACGCGAGAGAAGUCAACAUCAUGAGCACUAUCAAUUUACAGAUGUUUUAAUAAAAUAUAUUAAACUGAAAAACCUUGUUUCUACACAACUUGGAAGUAAAGCAACCUUUCGACUAAGA